rnacentral:rRNA from 1 species
UACGUAGGGGGCUAGCGUUGUCCGGAAUCAUUGGGCGUAAAGCGCGUGUAGGCGGUCCGGUAAGUCCGCUGUGAAAGUCGGGGGCUCAACCCUCGAAUGCCGGUGGAUACUGUCGGGCUAGAGUGCGGAAGAGGCGAGUGGAAUUCCUGGUGUAGCGGUGAAAUGCGCAGAUAUCAGGAGGAACACCAGUGGCGAAGGCGGGUCUCUGGGCCGAAAUUGACGCUGAGGAGCGAAAGCGUGGGGAGCAAACAGG